AGCGAACGCUGGCGGCAGGCUUAACACAUGCAAGUCGAACGCCCCGCAAGGGGAGUGGCAGACGGGUGAGUAACACGUGGGAACGUACCCUUUGGUUCGGAAUAACUUGGGGAAACUCAAGCUAAUACCGGAUAAGCCCUUAUGGGGAAAGGUUUACUGCCGAAGGAUCGGCCCGCGUCUGAUUAGCUAGUUGGUGAGGUAAUGGCUCACCAAGGCGACGAUCAGUAGCUGGUCUGAGAGGAUGAUCAGCCACACUGGGACUGAGACACGGCCCAGACUCCUACGGUAGGCAGCAUUGGGGAAUAUUGGACAAUGGGGGCAACCCUGAUCCAGCCAUGCCGCGUGAGUGAUGAAGGCCUUAGGGUUGUAAAGCUCUUUUACCCGGGACGAUAAUGACUGUACCGGGAGAAUAAGCCCCGGCCAACUUCGUGCCAGCCGCCGCCGUAA
rnacentral:rRNA from 1 species